rnacentral:miRNA from 12 species
AGCUACAUCCCGUGGGGCUCCA